GGGAAAGAGGUCAAAUUUUAGCGACUAAAAUGGUUCCUGCAUGAUUCCUAGCCGAAAACUGUGUGACAGGGUGCACCGACCACAGACAACUGAAAGUGAAACCUCUUGGCCUGAAAGUGCCAGUGGGAGAAUGGGAAAUAAGUACCUAGCGUGCUGCAGCCCAUGGAGUCACAGAGUCAGACACAACUGAGCAACUGAACAACAGCAACCCACUGACAAACUACAAGGAAAGGGAAAAGAGUCCUGCUGCUCAGACACAGUGGCACCAUAUUUUGUGCGUGAAAGUGAAGCCGCUCAGUCGUGUCUGACUCCUAGCGACCCCAUGGACUGCAGUCUACCAGGCUCCUCUGUCAAUGGAAUUUUCCAGUGCCUGGCAUGGUGGAGGUUUGCCUUUUGGUUCCAGACCCAGAUGCUGCUUUCCUGUUUCCCUGGGAGUUGGUCAUCCAGACAGUCACAGACUUGGUAUCAGGAGCCCUGAGUUUGGAUCUUAACACUCUGCUCAGUAUCUAACCCAGGAGGAAGCACUGGUGUGUGGUAAUUGGUCCUGAGGAGCCACCAUUACCAUCUUGCCCCCACAUGGAAUCUUGCAUGAAGCCAACUGGUGGCUCUCGACAGAGGAUGUGAUGGUUGGACGGCAUCAGCAACUUGAAGGACAUGAGUUUGAGCAAGCUCCAGAAGUUGGUGAUGGACAGGGAAGCCUGGCGUGCUGCAGUCCAUGGUGUCGCAAAUAGUCAGACAUGACUGUGGGACUGAACUGACUGAACUGAACAUGGCGG
ensembl:lncRNA